AUAGCUCCACGUCAGAGUUCCCGGGUAAGUUUUGGGAAGAAUCCGGGAGACUAUUGCACCUAGAGUCACUGUCAUGGUGGGCUGUCCAAGCUCGACCUAGCCUGGCUUCUGAGCUGCGGUCCAGAGGACGCGCGUGUGCUGCAAGGAGAAGGAAACACAGUGCUCCCUGCAGAGGAAGGAAAUAAAACAGCAAGUAUGGCUAUUUAAAAAGCCGUCCACGGUUGCCCAGGUUUGUGUAUGUCACCCGACAGUACCAUCCGCGUCUUCAUCACCAACAUGAGUCUGUCUCCCUUCAACACGGGCAAACAACACCAGAUAAGCCCUAGAAGUUAACAGCCUCCCAAGUUUCUACUAAAACAACUUUUGUAACUCCUCAAGGCCUCCUACUACUGCUUAGACCUAACCACGUGUUGAGAGUUCCCAGAGCCCUGUGGAGGCAGAUCUUUGGCGCCACGGACAUGUCACUCAUUCAUUCUUGCCAUCAGCAGCCUGUGUACACUGAUGUGGCUAGCUUCUUGCAAGGCCCUUAGAAAAUAACACGUUAGCAAGCUGAAACUGGAUCACACCUGUGGAUAUUCUCUAGGAACUCAACCUAGCAACCUAAAAUAUUAACGAAGAAGACUGACUCUUGCUGCACUCCGUUAGACUUUAUUGCAGCAAUAGCUUGUGGAGUCAGUGAUGCCCUGGCAUUUAUAUGGAGGUCAGAGGACAACCGCAGGUGUCAUGCCUUCAACCUUGCUUAAUGUGGGGUUCCUGUUGUUUUUCCACCUCAUAUGCCAGACUGGCUGACCCUCUAAGUGUAGGACUCUAUGUGUCCUACUUUUCCAUACCUUCUGGGAAUUUGAAAUCAAGUCUGCAUGCCUAUGAGGCAAGUGUUUUACCUACCGAGUUUUUAGUGUUGGGUGAGAAACUGAUCCCUCUGUCUCUGUCUCUGUGUGUCUCUCUCUGUCUCUGUCUUUCUCACACACACACACACACAGGGUGGGAGGGGAGUAGCAGUUAGAUAAAUUAGAGGAAAAUAAUCUGAUAGCUCUCCAUGGGUCUUAAGACUGCAUAGGAUUGUGGGUAUACAGUUCAGAGGUAGAAUGUUUGCCCUGCUCUUCAAAAACAGCCAAAACUACUUAUAGUAAUAACUGGACUAGAUGUGGUGGCACAUGCUUUUAAUUCCAGUACUUGUUAGGCAGAUGCAAGGGGAGGCCAGCCUAGUAUGCAUAAUAAGUUCCAGCUCAGCCGGGGCUACACAGUGAGAGCCUGUCUCAAAAGAAGUUAUAAUAACAAUGUUUGCUAUUGUAGUAAGGUGUUCAUGCUCCUUGGAAGAUGCAUAUUAUACACAUGGUCAUAGGGUAAAUGUAAUAGCAGUAGUACCUAUCACUACAUUUCCAGGCCACAAAACUGAAUGUGAAAUGGAGAAUAUGAAUCAUUAUUAUUGUGUGAGAUAAGCACAUUUAUGAAAAUUGCCCUGGUUAUUUUUUUUAUUUGCAGAUUCUUGAAGAUAAUGCAUAAGUUACAAUAUUUAAUUAACAGAAGGUAUUCAUUAAUAUGAUGUUUCAAAUGCUUUAGUUUUUUUUCAAAUACAGAAAUUUGUGUGUGUGUGUGUGUGUGUGUGAUGUAUAUUUGCAGGUGUGCACAUACCUUUGCACACAUGUGGAGCCAGUGAGGAGAUCAGAUAUCCUGCUAUAUCACUCUGUUCCUCACACUUUUGAGGUAGGGUCUCUUACUGAACCUAGAGUCAGGCUAGCUUUCAGGAACCUCCACUGAUCCUCCUGCCUCAGCUCCAUCCCCACUCUAGCACUGGGGUUAUAGGCUGGCAUGCCUCGCUUAGUAUGUGGGUGCUGAAAUCUGAACUCAGGUCCCUGUCUUUAAGCAACAGGCUCUCUUACCUACUGAACUCUCUCUCUCCAGCCCCUCAAAUACACAAAUUUAAAAACUACUUUUAUAGCAGUAAUUUUGGCUCAGUCAAAAGAAAUUAAGAUGAAACAUCUAGCUGAAAUCCAAUAUUGCAUACAUGCAUACACACAUUCUUUGUACACCCAUAGCUAUAAUGGCAUAGUAUUUGCAGACAGGUGACAUUCCAAGGUAAACCCAUUUGGAAAAUGUUGCUGCAAAAGCUUAAAUUUUUUAUGUUAAGGUAAAUAUUCACUGAUAAGAAUCAUUGCAACUCUGUUUAGAGAAACAUGGAAAAUCAAAGAGACUAUAAUUCUACAAUCUAUGUUUGGCAGCAAGAGAACUCUGAAAAGACAGAUUGCUAGCAUUUCUGGUGGUUCAUUUAGCUAAAAUGAAGCCUGCAGGCUAGCUCUGUAUGCCCAACUUCAGUUUCAAAGCAUGAGUCUGAGAGAUGUGGCCACCAGCCUCUCAUAACUUGGGUGGAUGCCGUUUAGUCCUGUGUUUACAUAAAAUGUGUUUAUUGGGCCCAUAUUUUGCAAAGUAUUUUAGCCUGAAUAAAAUAACAUGUAGAGCUUAUUGAUGCAGAGUUAUAGCAUGUUUGUGUCUGUGUAUGCUAGAAAUUGAACCCAAGGUCUCGUACAUGCUGAGCACACCGUUUUUUUCUGUACUUUACCCUCAGCCUCCAAAGUAGAAGUUUUAAAGGAGAACCCUUUUGUAAGAUUUAGGCCUUAUGGCCCACAGGAAAUCUAUGGGGCCACAGGCCCCAGUUCACACCAGAGUAACGAGAGUGGGCUUAGAAAAACAAGCCUUUGCUGUCCCCUGCCCCAGUAAACGUUACCAGUGAAGCUGAAGGAAUGACUGCCUGGGACUCUUUCCUCCACAUUCGGAACCAUUCGAAGAGGAAUCCUUAAUCAGGACAAAGGGAAAAACCUCAGGGAAUCAGGCAUCAUUAUCCACUUCAUCAAAAACACGUAAUACUGUGGUGGGUCACCUUCUAAAGAGAAAAUAGCAAUAUUCACCAGAGCCAGCCUGUCACCUCAAGGUCCAUUCGGAUCUGCUGAUUUUAGCUGUUUCACACUCAUGGUAGAGGAAUGGGCUUGGAGCAGGUAACAGUGUGGACUGGGAGGGUCAGCAAUAGGAAACUCAGAGACCAUCACUGCUGAUGUCACAAUGUCCUACUGUCCCAGAAUGAACCCACCUCUCUUCCCAAGUAGGCUCAGUCCUUCCUACAUGUGACCCACUCUGCUCAGAGAUUCGUCCUGAACAACUCCAGUGGCAAUGAGUGAAUUCACUGGAGAGAAUGCAGCCUCCUGUGGACAGGAGGCCACAGAACACUGCUGAUGGUCCCUGGUUCUUUAGAAACCUUCCUAAGGCUCCCUCUACCAAUGACAGCAGAAGACAAUUGCCAUUCAGUUAUCACUGCUGGCCUGUCUUUAUUAAAUGGAUAAUAUGUAAGACAUAAAAGUGCCUUUCCAGGGCUUGGUAGUCUCAAUUACAAAUGAAAACACUGUGUGAAUUUUUAAUAAAAUUUCACAAAAA